UACGUAGGGGCCGAGCGUUGUCCGGAGUUACUGGGCGUAAAGCGCGCGCAGGCGGCUCGUCAAGCCUGACGUGAAAGCCCCCGGCUCAACCGGGGAGGGUCGUCGGGGACUGGCGAGCUUGAGGUCGGCAGGGGCUGGUGGAAUUCCCGGUGUAGUGGUGAAAUUCGUAGAUAUCGGGAGGAACACCGGUGGCGAAGGCGGCGACCUGGGUCGAUACUGACGCUGAGGUGCGAAAGCGUGGGGAGCAAACAGG
rnacentral:rRNA from 1 species